rnacentral:rRNA from 2 species
UUAAUUUUGAACGAGUGGCGGACGGGUGAGUAACACGUGGGUAACCUGCCCUUAAGUGGGGGAUAACAUUUGGAAACAGAUGCUAAUACCGCAUAAAUCCAAGAACCGCAUGGUUCUUGGCUGAAAGAUGGCGUAAGCUAUCGCUUUUGGAUGGACCCGCGGCGUAUUAGCUAGUUGGUGAGGUAACGGCUCACCAAGGCAAUGAUACGUAGCCGAACUGAGAGGUUGAUCGGCCACAUUGGGACUGAGACACGGCCCAAACUCCUACGGGAGGCAGCAGUAGGGAAUCUUCCACAAUGGACGCAAGUCUGAUGGAGCAACGCCGCGUGAGUGAAGAAGGCUUUCGGGUCGUAAAACUCUGUUGUUGGAGAAGAAUGGUCGGCAGAGUAACUGUUGUCGGCGUGACGGUAUCCAACCAG